rnacentral:SRP_RNA from 1 species
GCUGGGAUUAUAGGCAUAAAUCACUCCGCCCAGCCCCUUGGGCUUAUUUUAUCAGGCACUAAUCUCAUAGAGAUGCCGAUCGGGUGUCCGCACUAAGAUUGGCAUCAAUAUGGUGAACUCUUGGGAGCGGGGGACCACCAGGUUGCCUAAGGAGGGGUGAACUGGCCCAGCUUGGAAACAGAGCAGGUCAGAACUCCCGUGCUGAUCAGUAGUGGAAUUGCACCUGUGAAUAGUCACUGCAUUCCAGCCUGGGCAACAUAGCAAGACCCCAU